GCUUAACGUUGCGCGUGCAGUGGGUACGGGCUGACUAGAGUGCAGUAGGGGAGUCUGGAAUUCCUGGUGUAGCGGUGAAAUGCGCAGAUAUCAGGAGGAACACCGGUGGCGAAGGCGGGACUCUGGGCUGUAACUGACACUGAGGAGCGAAAGUAUGGGGAGCGAACAGGAUUAGAUACCCUGGUAGUCCAUGCCGUAAACGUUGGGCACUAGGUGUGGGGAACAUUCCACGUUCUCCGCGCCGUAGCUAACGCAUUAAGUGCCCCGCCUGGGGAGUACGGUCGCAAGGCUAAAACUCAAAGGAAUUGACGGGGGCCCGCACAAGCGGCGGAGCAUGCGGAUUAAUUCGAUGCAACGCGAAGAACCUUACCAAGGCUUGACAUACACUGGACCGUUCUGGAAACAGUUCUUCUCUUUGGAGCUGGUGUACAGGUGGUGCAUGGUUGUCGUCAGCUCGUGUCGUGAGAUGUUGGGUUAAGUCCCGCAACGAGCGCAACCCUCGUUCUAUGUUGCCAGCACGUGAUGGUGGGAACUCAUAGGAGACUGCCGGGGUCAACUCGGAGGAAGGUGGGGAUGACGUCAAAUCAUCAUGCCCUUUAUGUCUUGGGCUUCACGCAUGCUACAAUGGCUGGUACAGAG
rnacentral:rRNA from 1 species